rnacentral:rRNA from 1 species
UACAGAGGUCCCAAGCGUUGUUCGGAUUCACUGGGCGUAAAGGGUGCGUAGGUGGUGAGGUAAGUCGGAUGUGAAAUCUCCGAGCUUAACUCCGAAACUGCAUUCGAUACUGCGGUGCUUGAGGACUGGAGAGGAGACUGGAAUUCAUGGUGUAGCAGUGAAAUGCGUAGAGAUCAUGAGGAAGACCAGUGGCGAAGGCGGGUCUCUGGACAGUUCCUGACACUGAGACACGAAGGCCAGGGGAGCAAACUGG